rnacentral:rRNA from 1 species
GACGAACGCUGGCGGCGUGCUUAACACAUGCAAGUCGAACGGAAAGGCCCUGCUUUUGUGGGGUGCUCGAGUGGCGAACGGGUGAGUAACACGUGAGUAACCUGCCCUUGACUUUGGGAUAACUUCAGGAAACUGGGGCUAAUACCGGAUAGGAGCUCCUGCUGCAUGGUGGGGGUUGGAAAGUUUCGGCGGUUGGGGAUGGACUCGCGGCUUAUCAGCUUGUUGGUGUGGUAGUGGCUUACCAAGGCUUUGACGGGUAGCCGGCCUGAGAGGGUGACCGGCCACAUUGGGACUGAGAGACGGCCCAGACUCCUACGGGCGGCAGAAGUGGGGAAUAUUGCACAAUGGGCGGAAGCCUGAUGCAGCAACGCCGCGUGCGGGAUGACGGCCUUCGGGUUGUAAACCGCUUUCGCCUGUGACGAAGCGUGAGUGACGGUAAUGGGUAAAGAAGCACCGGCUAACUACGUG